rnacentral:rRNA from 1 species
UCCGAGAGGGAAAGAACCCGGACCAUCAGCUAAGGUCCCCAAAUAUAUGCUAAGUUGACCAAACGCGGUCUGACUGCACUGACAGCUAGGAUGUUGGCUUGGAAGCAGCCAUACAUUUAAAGAGUGCGUAACAGCUCACUAGUCGAGCGGUUGGGCAUGGAUAAUAAACGGGCAUAAGCAUAUUACCGAAGCUAUGGGGUUAUACAUUUGUAUAUACCGGUAGGGGAGCAUUCUAUUGGCGUUGAAGCUAAAGGCGUGAGCCAUAGUGGAGCCUAAUAGAAAAGAAAAUGUAGGCAUAAGUAACGAUAAGGCAGGCGAGAAACCUGCCCGCCGAAAGAUCAAGGUUUCCUCAGCUAUGCUAAUCAGCUGAGGGUUAGUCGGGGACUAACGCGAACCCGAGUAGGGGUAGUGGAUGUACAACGGGUUAAUAUUCCCGUACCAUUAAUCUACUAAAAGUGACGGAAUGAGAUAGCUACCGCGUACAGACGGAAUAGUACGUUUAAGGAGUUGUUAUGACUUCAAAAGUACACCGAGGCUUCGGCUGAAGUGAGAGUGGCGACAACGUUUCCAAGAAAAGCGAAGAUUAAUGCCCGUACCGUAAACCGACACAGGUGAUUGGGAUGAGAAUUCUAAGGCGCUCGAGAGAUUCAUGGCUAAGGAACUAGGCAAAAUAGACCUGUAACUUCGGGAGAAAGGUCGCCUAUCUAGCGAUAGGCCGCAGUGAAAAGGUCCAAGCGACUGUUUAUCAAAAACACAGGACUCUGCAAAAUCGAAAGAUGAGGUAUAGGGUCUGACACCUGCCCGGUGCUGGAAGGUUAAGAGGAGAGCUUAGCGUAAGCGAAGGUUUGAAUUGAAGCCCCAGUAAACGGCGGCCGUAACUAUAACGGUCCUAAGGUAGCGAAAUUCCUUGUCGGGUAAGUUCCGACCUGCACGAAUGGUGUAACGAUUUGGACACUGUCUCGGCCAUGAGCUCGGUGAAAUUGUAGUAUCGGUGAAGAUGCCGAUUACCCGCAGUGGGACGAAAAGACCCUGUGCACCUUUACUAUAUCUUCGUAUUGGUCUUGGAUAAGUGAUGCGUAGGAUAGGUGGGAGACUGAGAAGCGGCUAUUCUGGUAGUUGUGGAGUCGUUGUUGAAAUACCACCCUUUGCUUAUCUGAGGUCUAACCCUGCAGAGUGCAGGGGACAAUUCGUGGAGGGUAGUUUGACUGGGGUGGUCGCCUCCAAAAGAGUAACGGAGGCUUCUAAAGGUUCCCUCAGCACGCUUGGUAACCGUGCGUAGAGUGCAAUGGCAUAAGGGAGCUUGACUGAGAGACCUACAAGUCGAUCAGGUACGAAAGUAGAGCAUAGUGAUCCGGUGGUUCCGUAUGGAAGGGCCAUCGCUCAAAGGAUAAAA